rnacentral:rRNA from 1 species
AGAGUUUGAUCAUGGCUCAGAACGAACGCUGGCGGCAGGCUUAACACAUGCAAGUCGAACGCAUCCUUCGGGAUGAGUGGCAGACGGGUGAGUAACGCGUGGGAACCUACCCUUUUCUACGGAAUAACGCAUGGAAACGUGUGCUAAUACCGUAUACGCCCUUUGGGGGAAAGAUUUAUCGGAGAAGGAUGGGCCCGCGUUGGAUUAGCUAGUUGGUGGGGUAAUGGCCUACCAAGGCGACGAUCCAUAGCUGGUCUGAGAGGAUGAUCAGCCACAUUGGGACUGAGACACGGCCCAAACUCCUACGGGAGGCAGCAGUGGGGAAUAUUGGACAAUGGGCGCAAGCCUGAUCCAGCCAUGCCGCGUGAGUGAUGAAGGCCCUAGGGUUGUAAAGCUCUUUCAACGGUGAAGAUAAUGACGGUAACCGUAGAAGAAGCCCCGGCUAACUUCGUGCCAGCAGCCGCGGUAAUACGAAGGGGGCUAGCGUUGUUCGGAAUUACUGGGCGUAAAGCGCACGUAGGCGGAUUGGUCAGUUAGGGGUGAAAUCCCAGAGCUCAACUCUGGAACUGCCUUUAAUACUGCCAAUCUAGAGUAUGGAAGAGGUGAGUGGAAUUCCGAGUGUAGAGGUGAAAUUCGUAGAUAUUCGGAGGAACACCAGUGGCGAAGGCGGCUCACUGGUCCAUUACUGACGCUGAGGUGCGAAAGCGUGGGGAGCAAACAGGAUUAGAUACCCUAGUAGUCC